UCCCUGGAGGACUAGUGGUUAGGCCACAGCGCUCUCACCGCUGCGGCCCGGGUUCGAUUCCCGGCCAGGGAA
rnacentral:tRNA from 1 species